GUACGAAGGGGAGCUAGCGUUGCUCGGAAUUACUGGGCGUAAAGCGCACGUAGGCGGCUUUCUAAGUCGGGGGUGAAAUCCUGGAGCUCAACUCCAGAACUGCCUUCGAUACUGGAGAGCUCGAGUCCGGGAGAGGUGAGUGGAACUGCGAGUGUAGAGGUGAAAUUCGUAGAUAUUCGCAAGAACACCAGUGGCGAAGGCGGCUCACUGGCCCGGCACUGACGCUGAGGUGCGAAAGCGUGGGGAGCAAACAGG
rnacentral:rRNA from 1 species